rnacentral:rRNA from 1 species
UACAGAGGGUGCGAGCGUUAAUCGGAAUUACUGGGCGUAAAGGGUGCGUAGGUGGUUUUAUAAGUUAGGUGUGAAAACCCUGGGCUUAACCUAGGAAUGGCAUUUAAAACUGUAAGACUAGAGUUCGGAAGAGGAAAGUGGAAUUUCAGGUGUAGCGGUGAAAUGCGUAGAUAUCUGAAGGAACAUCAGUGGCGAAGGCGACUUUCUGGUCCGAUACUGACACUGAGGCACGAAAGCGUGGGGAGCAAACAGG